rnacentral:tRNA from 1 species
UGUGGUGUAGUUUAUAUCUAAAAUACUAAUUUUCGGGGUUAGAGAUUCUUUGGACACUACUA